AACGCACCUUGCGCCCCUUGGUAUUCCGAGGGGCAUGCCUGUUUGAGUGUCUUAUAAACAUCAAUCCCCCCCGGUUUUGCGACUGUGGUCUGGUGGACUUGGAGAUGGGCCCUGCCGGGCGACCGGCUGGCCUGAAAGACGUUAGUGGGAAGUGUUUCCUCUGGCCUGACGUGAUAAGUUUCGUCUGACCUUGGAUGGCACAUGCCUGCUCAGAACCCCAUGCCUUUGGGCAGAUCUUUUAUGCUGGACCUCAAAUCAGGUAGGACUACCCGCUGAACUUAA
rnacentral:misc_RNA from 1 species